rnacentral:rRNA from 1 species
UACGUAGGGUGCAAGCGUUGUCCGGAAUUAUUGGGCGUAAAGAGCUCGUAGGCGGUCUGUUGCGUCGGCUGUGAAAACCCGGGGCUCAACCCCGGGCCUGCAGCCGAUACGGGCAGACUAGAGUUCGGCAGGGGAGACUGGAAUUCCUGGUGUAGCGGUGAAAUGCGCAGAUAUCAGGAGGAACACCGGUGGCGAAGGCGGGUCUCUGGGCCGAUACUGACGCUGAGGAGCGAAAGCGUGGGGAUCAAACAGG